UAUCUCUGUAGAGUCUGCAUAUCAAUAAGCGGAGGAAAAGAAACUAACAAGGAUUCCCUUAGUAACGGCGAGUGAAGCGGGAAGAGCUCAAAUUUGAAAUCUUCAAGGUUCUACCUUGACGAAUUGUAGUUUAUAGAAGUGUUUUCUGUUAGUAGGAGUGGCAAAAGUUCUUUGGAAUAGGACAUCAUAGAGGGUGAGAAUCCCGUAUUUGGUCAUUCUUUCUAGCUUUGUGAUACACUUUCAACGAUGUCGGAUUGUUUGGGAAUGCAGUCCAAAAUGGGUGGUAAAUUUCAUCUAAAGCUAAAUAUUGGCGAGAGACCGAUAGCGAACAAGUACCGUGAGGGAAAGAUGAAAAGAACUUUGAAAAGAGAGUUAAACAGUACGUGAAAUUGUCAAAAGGGAAGCGUUUGACACCAGUGUUGUUUUUCCGAAAAUCAAUUACGAAUGUUUUGUUUUUGAGAAGUUAUGACUUCAUCGGCUUGCUUCUCUCUUUACGAAACUUUCUUAAUGCACUUUUCGGUUAACAAGUCAACAUCAAUUUCUUUUGUUGUAAAUGGGUAUGAGGAAGGUGGCUUUCUUUUCGGAGAAAGUGUUUAUAGCCUUGUACCUCUGCAAUCGGAGAGAUUGAGGUCUGCAGCGUAGAUCCUUCGGGGUUAGAUACAUUUGUGCUAAGUUAUAGCUUUUCAUAGACAACUUGUUGACUAUGUUUAGUCUUGUAGAUUACUCGCUUAUGCUAUUUUACCUACGCUUAGGAUGUUGAUGUGAUACUGCGAGCA
rnacentral:rRNA from 1 species